rnacentral:rRNA from 1 species
GUGGGGAAUAUUGGACAAUGGGCGCAAGCCUGAUCCAGCCAUGCCGCGUGCAGGAUGAAGGCCUUCGGGUUGUAAACUGCUUUUGUACGGAACGAAAAGACUCCUUCUAAUAAAGGGGGUCCAUGACGGUACCGUAAGAAUAAGCACCGGCUAACUACGUGCCAGCAGCCGCGGUAAUACGUAGGGUGCAAGCGUUAAUCGGAAUUACUGGGCGUAAAGCGUGCGCAGGCGGUUAUAUAAGACAGAUGUGAAAUCCCCGGGCUCAACCUGGGAACUGCAUUUGGGACUGUAUAGCUAGAGUACGGUAGAGGGGGAUGGAAUUCCGCGUGUAGCAGUGAAAUGCGUAGAUAUGCGGAGGAACACCGAUGGCGAAGGCAAUCCCCUGGACCUGUACUGACGCUCAUGCACGAAAGCGUGGGGAGCAAACAGGAUUAGAAACCCCUGUAGUCC